rnacentral:rRNA from 1 species
UACGUAGAGGGCAAGCGUUGUCCGGAAUCACUGGGCGUAAAGGGUACGUAGGCGGAUAUAUAAGUCAAAUGUGAAAGGCACCGGCUUAACCGGUGAGCUGCAUUUGAAACUGUAUAUCUUGAGUUCAGGAGAGGAGAGCGGAAUUCCUGGUGUAGCGGUGGAAUGCGUAGAUAUCAGGAAGAACACCAGUGGCGAAGGCGGCUCUCUGGCCUGAAACUGACGCUCAGGUACGAAAGCGGGGGUAGCAAACAGG